CACAUCGAGAUGCUGAGGAACAGCUUGAGAGACACGCACAAGUCUAUUUUAAGGAACUAAAAGCCAAUGAAUCAUUAUCCAAGGAAUUAGAUAGGUUUUUGAUGAAGAGAAAAUUUUGAAAAGGAACCAAACAGAGAACUUCAAAAUCGGAAAUCGCAAAGUUAUUAAGAAUUAUUAAAGUAUUUGUAUUUGUAGAAAUAAAAAUUGUUGCCCUU
rnacentral:lncRNA from 1 species